rnacentral:rRNA from 1 species
GACGAACGCUGGCGGCGUGCUUAACACAUGCAAGUCGAACGCUGAAGCUUGGUGCUUGCACUGGGUGGAUGAGUGGCGAACGGGUGAGUAUACGUGAGUAACCUGCCCUUGACUCUGGGAUAAGCCUGGGAAACUGGGUCUAAUACUGGAUAUGACAUGCCACUGCAUGGUGGUGUGUGGAAAGGGUUUUACUGGUUUUGGAUGGGCUCACGGCCUAUCAGCUUGUUGGUGGGGUAAUGGCCUACCAAGGCGACGACGGGUAGCCGGCCUGAGAGGGUGACCGGCCACACUGGGACUGAGACACGGCCCAGACUCCUACGGGAGGCAGCAGUGGGGAAUAUUGCACAAUGGGCGGAAGCCUGAUGCAGCGACGCCGCGUGAGGGAUGACGGCCUUCGGGUUGUAAACCUCUUUCAGCACGGAAGAAGCGAGAGUGACGGUACGUGCAGAAGAAGCGCCGGCUAACUACGUG